UAGUACUGCGAGUGAAGCGGGAAAAGCUCAAAUUUAAAAUCUGAUAGUCCCUGUGGCUGUCCGAGUUGUAAUCUAGAGAAGUGCUUUCCGCGUUGGACCGUGUACAAGUCUCUUGGAACAGAGCAUCAUAGAGGGUGAGAAUCCCGUCUUUGACACGGACUACCAGUGCUUUUGUGAUGCGCUCUCAAAGAGUCGAGUUGUUUGGGAAUGCAGCUCAAAAUGGGUGGUAAAUUCCAUCUAAAGCUAAAUAUUGGCGAGAGACCGAUAGCGAACAAGUACCGUGAGGGAAAGAUGAAAAGAACUUUGGAAAGAGAGUUAAACAGUACGUGAAAUUGUUGAAAGGGAAACGCUUGAAGUCAGUCACGUUGGCUAGAAAUCAACUCUUCAUUGAAGGGUGUACUUUCUGGCUUUACGGGUCAACAUCAAUUUUGACUGUUGGAUAAAUUUCAAUAUUUAUGCAUUUUCGGAUGUAUAGCCUUUGAUUGCAUACAACAGUUGGGAUUGAGGAACUCAGCAUGCCGCAAGGCCGGGUCAGAAUGACCACGUACAUGCUUAGGAUGUUGGCAUAAUGGCUUUAAUCGACCCGUCUUGAAACACGGACCAAGGAGUCUAACAUGCCCGCGAGUGUUUGGGUGGUAAACCCGAGCGCGUAAUGAAAGUGAAUGUUGAGAUCUCUGUCAUGGAGAG
rnacentral:rRNA from 1 species